rnacentral:misc_RNA from 1 species
GCAAACUUGGUCAUUUAGAGGAAGUAAAAGUCGUAACAAGGUAACCGUAGGUGAACCUGCGGUUGGAUCAUUAAAAGAGGAUGAGGAAGAAAAAGAGAGCAAAAAGAGGGGGGUUGGUCGGUGCGUGCGACCAAUCUGGAGGCGAUCGCUGCUCUUGCUGCAUUUGGUGUCUCUGGCGGCAGAGGCGAGACCGAUCCGGCGACACUCGUCUGUCCCCCUCCCGUCCGCUGUCCCUUUCGGACGGAGGAAGGGAAUCCCUCUCUCUGCGUGUUUGGACUGCUGAACCCUUCCCCUCGAGGGGUUGUGAUGCGCAUUCGAUUUUUUGUUUGCGGUGGUCCGUCCAAACGGGUGGGCCGCCGGGAUCUUUGUAGUGAAUCGCCUGAGAAAAAUCAAAUGAAAUUAAAAAAAUGAAAACAACUUUUGACGACGGAUCUCUAGGCUCUCGCAUCGAUGAAGAACGCAGC